rnacentral:rRNA from 1 species
GCAAGUCGAACGAGAAAGGGAUUGCUUGCAAUCCUGAGUAGAGUGGCGCCCGGGUGAGUAACACGUAAAUAAUCUACCUUAGAGCCUGGGAUAACUAUUCGAAAGGAUAGCUAAUACGGGAAGAGGUAAUGCAUCGCAGGGUGCAUUAUGAAAGAUUGCCUCUUCUUGAAAGCAAUGUUUGGAGAUGAGUUUGCGGACCAUUAGUUUGUUGGUGGGGUAAAGGCUUACCAAGACUGCGAUGGUUAGCUGGUCUGAGAGGAUGAUC